GCCUAACCAUAACACAACAAUAAAUUACACAUUGUUCGCCAAAUAACUACGAGUAAAAACUUAAAAUUUAAAAGACUUGACGGUACCCCACAACAACCUAGAGGAGCCUGUUCAAUAACCGAUACUCCACGAUUAAUCCAACCUUCCCUAGCCCACCAGUCUAUAUACCGCCGUCGCCAGCCUACCUUAUGAAAGAAACAAAGUAAGCCAAACAGCCAUACACUAAUACGACAGGUCGAGGUGUAACUUAUGGGAAGGACUAGAAUGGGCUACAUUAUCUAACUCAGAUAAUACGGAUAAACUAUGAAACAAGAAACUAAAGGCGGAUUUAGCAGUACACUAUGAACAACAAUACCUAGUCGAAAUCAACGCAAUGGGGUGCGUACACACCGCCCGUCAUCCCUGUCAACCAACUAAAACAUUCAUAAACACAAACAAACCUUUAAAGCAGGGCAAGUCGUAACACGGUAAGCGUACUGGAAAGUGCGCUUAGAAA
rnacentral:rRNA from 1 species